rnacentral:misc_RNA from 1 species
GUGAAUCAUCAAAUUUUUGAACGCGAAUUGCACUCUCAGGUAUUCCGGAGAGUAUGCCUGUUUGAGGGUCAGUUUAAAUAAAAAUCGGUGUGGUUGCGGCCUUUCGUUGUGACGCACCGGAUUUGGGUCGUCUUGCCUUGGGUUAAGUGACCUAAAAUCUUGCAUUAUUUUUUUCUAACGUAUUUAAAUGAUUUUACGUAGGUUUUUUAUAUCGAAUACUAGGUGUGGGCAUUCU